rnacentral:rRNA from 1 species
UACGUAGGGGCCUAGCGUUGUCCGGAAUUAUUGGGCGUAAAGGGCUCGUAGGCGGUCUGUCGCGUCGGGAGUGAAAACUCGGGGCUUAACCCCGAGCCUGCUUCCGAUACGGGCAGACUAGAGGUAUGCAGGGGAGAAUGGAAUUCCUGGUGUAGCGGUGAAAUGCGCAGAUAUCAGGAGGAACACCGGUGGCGAAGGCGGUUCUCUGGGCCGUAACUGACGCUGAGGAGCGAAAGCAUGGGGGAGCGAACAGG